CCGAUCUUAGCUCAGUUGGUAGAGCGGAGGACUGUAGUUUGGUGCAGAGAAAUCCUUAGGUCGCUGGUUCGAAUCCGGCAGGUCGGA
rnacentral:tRNA from 1 species